rnacentral:rRNA from 1 species
AGAGUUUGAUCCUGGCUCAGGAUGAACGCUAGCGGCAGGCCUAAUACAUGCAAGUCGAGGGGCAGUUUUGCUUUCGAGCAAAAGCGACCGGCGCACGGGUGCGUAACGCGUAUGCAACCUACCUUUUACUGGGGGAUAGCCCGAAGAAAUUCGGAUUAAUACCGCAUAGUACUAUUUGAAGGCAUCAGAAGAUAGUUAAAGAUUUAUUGGUAAAAGAUGGGCAUGCGUGACAUUAGUUAGUUGGUGAGGUAACGGCUCACCAAGACGAUGAUGUCUAGGGGUUCUGAGAGGAAGAUCCCCCACACUGGUACUGAGAUACGGACCAGACUCCUACGGGAGGCAGCAGUAGGGAAUAUUGGUCAAUGGGCGCAAGCCUGAACCAGCCAUGCCGCGUGUAGGAAGAAGGCCUUCUGGGUUGUAAACUACUUUUAUCAGGGAACAAAAAGCUCCUGCGGGAGAAAUUGCGUGUACC